rnacentral:sRNA from 1 species
UUCCUUUUGGGAGGUGUCAGCUGAAAAAAAUACAUCCUACCCCUGUUUUAAAUUUAUCAUUGUUUUAGGUUCCCGAUGUUGCUGUGACCAAAACCCUGACUAUGAGCAACUUAAGUGAAGAAAGGUUUUGUCUUUCACUUCCAGGUCAGAGUUCAUCAUUGAGAUCCAUCAAGAUGGGAAUUCAAGGAAGCUCUGCUUGUUAUUCCACAGAGCAGUGCUACCACCCAAGGAACCCACUUCAUAGCCAGGAAGUACAUCACACUUGCGUACCGUGUGGAAGCGUCACCUGUCAAUUAAAAGCUGAUUGGCCCAUUAGCUGAGACAAGAAGUAGAAGGCAGAACAUCCGGCAGAAAGUUGGAAUUCUGGGAAAGAGUCAACCCUGAAGUUUGAGGAAGUUGGGUGCAUGAAGCUAAGGAGAGCUUGCAGAUAAACAUGUGAUCCAACUUGCAGAUCAGCGUGUGAUCUUUUAGCCACCACUCCAGCACCAUGACUGCAUGCCUGCUGCCAUGCUUCUCGCCAUGAUGAUCGUGGACUCUAACCUUUCAGAACCAUGACUCCAACAAACAUUUUUAACCAACAAGAGUCGACCACUCUAGAUGAUGACAACCACAGCACAUCAGAUGACUGAAAACAUCUAUCCCAUAAUUUGGGGGAACAGGGGAGUUGUGUUCUGAAAAUUACUUGUCUGGAGACAAAGGUACCUUUUGGCUGAAAAUUGGGAUAUUUGCCAAGUCCCAGGAAAGUUAGCUGUAUCUUUUUCUGUC